rnacentral:rRNA from 1 species
UCCGGAGGGUGCAAGCGUUAUCCGGAUUCACUGGGUUUAAAGGGUGCGUAGGUGGGCAGGUAAGUCAGUGGUGAAAUCUCCGGGCUUAACCCGGAAACUGCCAUUGAUACUAUCUGUCUUGAAUACCGUGGAGGUGAGCGGAAUAUGUCAUGUAGCGGUGAAAUGCUUAGAUAUGACAUAGAACACCAAUUGCGAAGGCAGCUCACUACACGAAUAUUGACACUGAGGCACGAAAGCGUGGGGAUCAAACAGG